GCCGGGAUGGCGGAAUGGUAGACGCAACCGACUUAAAAUCGGUCGCCGCAAGGCGUGCGGGUUCAAGUCCCGUUCUCGGCACCA
rnacentral:tRNA from 1 species